AUUGAACGCUGGCGGCAUGCCUUACACAUGCAAGUCGAACGGCAGCGCGGGAGCAAUCCUGGCGGCGAGUGGCGAACGGGUGAGUAAUACAUCGGAACGUGCCCAAUCGUGGGGGAUAACGCAGCGAAAGCUGUGCUAAUACCGCAUACGAUCUACGGAUGAAAGCAGGGGAUCGCAAGACCUUGCGCGAAUGGAGCGGCCGAUGGCAGAUUAGGUAGUUGGUGAGGUAAAGGCUCACCAAGCCUUCGAUCUGUAGCUGGUCUGAGAGGACGACCAGCCACACUGGGACUGAGACACGGCCCAGACUCCUACGGGAGGCAGCAGUGGGGAAUUUUGGACAAUGGGCGAAAGCCUGAUCCAGCCAUGCCGCGUGAAGGAUGAAGGCCUUCGGGUUGUAAACUGCUUUUGUACGGAACGAAACGGUCUUUUCUAAUAAAGAAGGCUAAUGACGGUACCGUAAGAAUAAGCACCGGCUAACUACGUG
rnacentral:rRNA from 1 species